UGGUGCCAGCAGCCGCGGUAACACCAGCUCCAAUAGCGUAUAUUAAAGUUGUUGCGGUUAAAAAGCUCGUAGUUGAAUCUGUGUCCCACACUGUCGGUUCACCGCUCGCGGUGUUAACUGGCAUGUCUGUGGGACGUCCUACCGGUGGGCUCAGCCCGUCAAACGGCGGCCCAACUCAAAAUCCUACCACGGUGCUCUUCACCGAGUGUCGAGGUGGGCCGGUACGUUUACUUUGAACAAAUUAGAGUGCUUAAAGCAGGCUCAUUCGCCUGAAUAUUCUGUGCAUGGAAUAAUGGAAUAGGACCUCGGUUCUAUUUUGUUGGUUUUCGGAAUCCGAGGUAAUGAUUAAUAGGGACAACUGGGGGCAUUCGUAUUGCGACGUUAGAGGUGAAAUUCUUGGAUCGUCGCAGGACGGACAGAAGCGAAAGAAAUGUGUUUUCAUCAAUCAAGAACGAAAGUUAGAGGCGCAAAGGCGAUCAGAUACCGCCCUAGUUCUAACCAUAAACUAUGCCAGCUAGCGAUCCGCCGAAGUUCCUCCGAUGACUCGGCGGGCAGCUUCCGGGAAACCAAAGCUUUUGGGUUCCGGGGGAAGUAUGGUUGCAAAGCUGAAACUUAAAGGAAUUGACGGAAGGGCACCACCAGGAGUGGAGCCU
rnacentral:rRNA from 1 species